UACGUAGGCAGCAAGCGUUGUUCGGAGUUACUGGGCGUAAAGGGUGUGUAGGCGGUUCUUUAAGUUUGGUGUGAAAUCUCCCGGCUCAACCGGGAGGGUGCGCCGAAUACUGAGGGACUAGAGUGCGGGAGAGGAAAGUGGAAUUCCUGGUGUAGCGGUGAAAUGCGUAGAUAUCUGGAGGAAUACCGGUGGCGAAGGCGGCAUCCUGGACCGGCAUUGACGCUGAAGCGCGAAAGCUAGGGGAGCAAACGGG
rnacentral:rRNA from 1 species